UACGUAGGGCGCAAGCGUUAUCCGGAAUUAUUGGGCGUAAAGAGCUCGUAGGCGGUUUGUCGCGUCUGCCGUGAAAGUCCGAGGCUCAACCCCGGAUCUGCGGUGGGUACGGGCAGACUAGAGUGAUGUAGGGGAGACUGGAAUUCCUGGUGUAGCGGUGAAAUGCGCAGAUAUCAGGAGGAACACCGAUGGCGAAGGCAGGUCUCUGGGCAUUAACUGACGCUGAGGAGCGAAAGCAUGGGGAGCGAACAGG
rnacentral:rRNA from 1 species